rnacentral:rRNA from 1 species
GAUGAACGCUAGCGGCAGGCUUAACACAUGCAAGUCGAGGGGUAUUGGUUUUCGGACCAAGAGACCGGCGCACGGGUGCGUAACGCGUAUGCAAUCUACCUUUUGCAGAGGGAUAGCCCCAGAGAAAUUUGGAUUAAUACCUCAUAGUAUAGUACUUUGGCAUCAAGGAACUAUUAAAGUCACAACGGCAAAAGAUGAGCAUGCGUCCCAUUAGCUAGUUGGUAAGGUAACGGCUUACCAAGGCUACGAUGGGUAGGGGUCCUGAGAGGGAGAUCCCCCACACUGGUACUGAGACACGGACCAGACUCCUACGGGAGGCAGUAGUGAGGAAUAUUGGACAAUGGGCGCAAGCCUGAUCCAGCCAAUGCCGGCCGUUGCAGGAUGACGGUCCUAGUGGAUUAUAAACUGC